AACGAACGCUGGCGGCAUGCCUAACACAUGCAAGUCGAACGAGACCUUCGGGUCUAGUGGCGCACGGGUGCGUAACGCGUGGGAACCUGCCCUUAGGUUCGGAAUAACUCCCCGAAAGGGGUGCUAAUACCGGAUAAUGUCUUCGGACCAAAGAUUUAUCGCCUUUGGAUGGGCCCGCGUUGGAUUAGCUAGUUGGUAGGGUAAAAGCCUACCAAGGCGACGAUCCAUAGCUGGUCUGAUAGGAUGAUCAGCCACACUGGGACUGAGACACGGCCCAGACUCCUACGGGAGGCAGCAGUGGGGAAUAUUGGACAAUGGGCGAAAGCCUGAUCCAGCAAUGCCGCGUGAGUGAUGAAGGCCUUAGGGUUGUAAAGCUCUUUUACCCGGGAUGAUAAUGACAGUACCGGGAGAAUAAGCUCCGGCUAACUCCGUG
rnacentral:rRNA from 1 species